ensembl:snRNA U4 U4 spliceosomal RNA
GAAUAUGUACUAGUGGCAGUAUCAUAACCAAUGAAGUUAAUCUGAGGUAUGAUUAUUGCUAGUUGAAAACUAAAUCACCAACACACUGUAUUGUACAUUUCUUUCCAUCCUUUAGCAUUCCUUAAUGGA